UACGUAGGGUGCGAGCGUUAAUCGGAAUUACUGGGCGUAAAGCGUGCGCAGGCGGUUCGUUAAGUCAGAUGUGAAAGCCCCGGGCUCAACCUGGGAACUGCAUUUGAAACUGGCGGGCUUGAGUAUGGCAGAGGGGGGUGGAAUUCCGCGUGUAGCAGUGAAAUGCGUAGAUAUCGGGAGGAACACCAGUGGCGAAGGCGGCGACCUGGUCAGAUACUGACGCUGAGGUGCGAAAGCGUGGGGAGCAAACAGG
rnacentral:rRNA from 1 species